CCAAAGGCUCUUUUAAGAGCCACCCACAUUUUCUUUUGAAAGAGCU
rfam:Picoides pubescens contig35237, whole genome shotgun sequence.